GUCUGGGUACUUCAAUUGGUGGUGUUUGACUCGAAAUCCAAGGGUCGCGGGUUCGAAAACCGCCCAGGACA